UGCUAGCAAUCUCUUGGUUC
rnacentral:misc_RNA from 1 species